GAUAUACAUGGAAGCAGAAUUUUA
rnacentral:piRNA from 1 species